AUGGACGUGGCUUACCUCGAGAUAGACGUGGAUUACCCUCAGAUGGACUGGCUUACCCUACUAGAAGAAUUCACCUUAAUUUGAUAAGGUAUAUCUUUGUACCGAAGAAAAUGAUAAAUGAAGAAGUGACUUACGUUUGUCUGUCUCCCUCGCACGAAUUCAUUGAUUUUCUACAAAGAAACCUAUACACAUUUUCACCGGAGUGAGGAGGCGUCAGAUGGCGCCCGCGGUAAGGUAUAAACAUAAACAGCUGAUUUUGACAGGUAAUAGAAAGUUUAUUUUUAUAUACAUAAAUGUUGUGCCAAUGUAUAGUGAAAAUUAUAUAAUGUGAAAGUGUUUAUUUACUUAUUAUAAAUUAGUGUGAAGGUGGGUAAACAACACGUGCAGCGCUGCACUUUGAACUUUAGUGUUUUCAGGGUUCCAAAAGUUCAAAAUGAGUUGUAAGAGGUCAUGCAUCAACUGUGCCAUUUAUCUUGCAGUUUUACU
rnacentral:lncRNA from 1 species